GGUGCUUGCACCUGAUUGAUUUUGGUCGCCAACGAGUGGCGGACGGGUGAGUAACACGUAGGUAACCUGCCCAGAAGCGGGGGACAACAUUUGGAAACAGAUGCUAAUACCGCAUAACAACGUUGUUCGCAUGAACAACGCUUAAAAGAUGGCUUCUCGCUAUCACUUCUGGAUGGACCUGCGGUGCAUUAGCUUGUUGGUGGGGUAACGGCCUACCAAGGCGAUGAUGCAUAGCCGAGUUGAGAGACUGAUCGGCCACAAUGGGACUGAGACACGGCCCAUACUCCUACGGGAGGCAGCAGUAGGGAAUCUUCCACAAUGGGCGCAAGCCUGAUGGAGCAACACCGCGUGAGUGAAGAAGGGUUUCGGCUCGUAAAGCUCUGUUGUUAAAGAAGAACACGUAUGAGAGUAACUGUUCAUACGUUGACGGUAUUUAACCAGAAAGUCACGGCUAACUACGUGCCAGCAGCCGCGGUAAUACGUAGGUGGCAAGCGUUAUCCGGAUUUAUUGGGCGUAAAGAGAGUGCAGGCGGUUUUCUAAGUCUGAUGUGAAAGCCUUCGGCUUAACCGGAGAAGUGCAUCGGAAACUGGAUAACUUGAGUGCAGAAGAGGGUAGUGGAACUCCAUGUGUAGCGGUGGAAUGCGUAGAUAUAUGGAAGAACACCAGUGGCGAAGGCGGCUACCUGGUCUGCAACUGACGCUGAGACUCGAAAGCAUGGGUAGCGAACAGGAUUAGAUACCCUGGUAGUCCAUGCCGUAAACGAUGAGUGCUAGG
rnacentral:rRNA from 1 species